GAAUGCGGGCUCGGAUUUAUGAAUGAAAAGGGGGGAAGAGGGGUGGCCCGGAAGAGCCACCAAGAAGUGCCGGGCAGCGCUCCUUACGGCGGGCUCGGAGCCACCGGGCGACUCCCCCUCAGCGCUGACCGGGCGCCCCGAGGGCGACGCGGGACACCGGGUCCGGCUGCGGCGGCUGCUCCUGCUGCUGCUGCUGCUGCGGCUCGCGGGGCGGGCUCGUCGGCCGGCGAGGAGGGAACGGAGCCACGGGGGUUAGCGCCGCACAGUCCGCAUCCAUCCUGCAGCGAGCGCUGGCCGGCAGGGCUGGGGCAGCAGGGGCGCCGCAGUCAUGAGGAGCGGGGCGCGGGGCUGGCUUCCCGGGCGAGCGGAUGCGAGCGGAGUGAAGACGCCUCGGCUCCCGCCGCCGCCGCCCGCCGACUACGGCGGGAUAGGCCCUGAGGGCGGAGGCACGGCGCGCGCGACGGACGAGCCCCGACGCCGGGCGGUGGCAGCCCGGGGCACACGGGUGGGAGGGGCCGCGCAGGGGAAGGAGGGCCGCGGCCCGGGCUCCCGGUCACUCGGCGGCCGCCGCCUCGGGCAGCACGCGCCCCGGAGGGGGGGGACCAGUCUCACAGGGCGCCCAUCACUGGAUGCCGAGGGCCGAAGCCUCGAAGCCUCGAAGCCUGAGGAGCGGCCCCCCCCGUUCCCGAGGCCUCCCCGCCCGCCCCGGGCCCGGCGAACCUCUUCCCCUCUCCGGCCGGCGCCGGGGGCAGAGGAGGGAGGGAACUCUGGGGAGGGGAGGGCCGCUCACCGCGGGGCCCGGGCUCCGCUACUUCUCUGGCCAGGAGGAGAGGAGACUGAAAGAACUGGGAGGAAGGGGAUAGGGAGAGAAAAGAGCAGUCACCCCACUAGGCGCCUUCUGUCAGCGAAGAAGGGAGCGCGGAAUGGCCGAGCAGAAGAACCGCGUCCCGCCCGGGAAACUCUUCGCUUUAAAUGGCGCCGAUGUCUGAAGCCACCACACAGCCCGCUUGGACCCCGCCCCCCGCUGCCCGGGGCGGCCCCGCCCACAUCGCGCUCGGGGGGCUCUCGCGCAGGCGUGCGCAGCUCGAUGAACCAUGGGAUUGGUAGUUUCAGAAGGAAACCCUGCAAGGGACCAAGGAGGAAAGCUCCUACUACUUCCGUGAUGCCCCGCGGUUGCUCUAGCCUGGUGCCUCCUGGGAAUUGUAGUUUCUUUUUUGAAAACCGCCUCUUCUGAAAG
rnacentral:lncRNA from 1 species